rnacentral:rRNA from 1 species
AUAAGCGGAGGAAAAGAAACCAACAGGGAUUGCCCUAGUAACGGCGAGUGAAGCGGCAACAGCUCAAAUUUGAAAUCUGGCGUCUUUGGCGUCCGAGUUGUAAUUUGCAGAGGGCGCUUUGGCAUCGGCAGCGGUCCAAGUUCCUUGGAACAGGACGUCACAGAGGGUGAGAAUCCCGUACGUGAUCGCUAGCCUUUACCGUGUAAAGCCCCUUCGACGAGUCGAGUUGUUUGGGAAUGCAGCUCUAAAUGGGAGGUAAAUUUCUUCUAAAGCUAAAUACUGGCCAGAGACCGAUAGCGCACAAGUAGAGUGAUCGAAAGAUGAAAAGCACUUUGGAAAGAGAGUUAAAAAGCACGUGAAAUUGUUGAAAGGGAAGCGCUUGCAGCCAGACUUGCCUGUAGUUGCUCAUCCGGGUUUCUACCCGGUGCACUCUUCUAUAGGCAGGCCAGCAUCAGUUUGGGCGGUUGGAUAAAGGUCUCUGUCAUGUACCUCUCUUCGGGGAGAACUUAUAGGGGAGACGACAUGCAACCAGCCCGGACUGAGGUCCGCGCAUCUGCUAGGAUGCUGGCGUAAUGGCUGUAAGCGGCCCGUCUUGAAACACGGACCAAGGAGUCUAACAUCUAUGCGAGUGUUUGGGUGUCAAGCCCGAACGCGUAAUGAAAGUGAACGGAGGUGGGAACCUUUCGGGGUGCACCAUCGACCGAUCCUGAUGUCUUCGGAUGGAUUUGAGUAAGAGCAUAGCUGUUGGGACCCGAAAGAUGGUGAACUAUGCUUGAAUAGGGUGAAGCCAGAGGAAACUCUGGUGGAGGCUCGCAGCGGUUCUGACGUGCAAAUCGAUCGUCAAAUUUGGGCAUAGGGGCGAAAGACUAAUCGAACUAUCUAGUAGCUGGU